GGAGGAUCCCGCCUCCCCGGCUUGGCCUUUGGGCGGGCUCCGGGUGUUGGUGAGAGCGCGCGGGGGCUGGAGCCUGCCAGGGCCCGGAGCCCGCCACUGUUGCCGGGUGGACAAGAGCGACCAUGUUGUAGGAUCCUGUCCCCCCUAGUACAAUGGGUGAUCGAUCGUGGUGCAGUGAUCCAUGAGGACCAGGCAUGCAUGGUGCUGGGGUGACAGAUCCACAAAGUCCUGAUGCAGCUGCAAGGUGUGCUACAGUACCAAUGGGAGAGGUGACAGAAUAUCGGGAUGCUGAACCUUGACUUGGAGAAGGCCUACAACCAGGUAAGGUUUCGAACUGGAAAACAGCCUGCAGGCUCUCCAACCAAAGACAAGAAAUAAAGUGC